GAAUCGCGAUAGGAAUUGCGAAUUGCAGAAUUCAGUGAAUCAUCGUAACUUUGAACGCAAACUGCGCUUGGGGGUUAACCCUGAGCAUGCCUCUUUGAGUGUCGGUCAAAAAAUCUCUUUGAUUUUCCUCAGAUUUAUCUGUGGAUAGAAAAGAGGAAGAUGAGGUGUUUUUGAUGAAUCCCUCCAAGUAUUGAGUUUUUGAUUUCUUUAUUAUUCAAAAUCUAGUCAUAUGCGAGUGGAGCUAAUGUUUUCACAAGCGACUAGUUGUUUAAUUUUAGAAAUUACUAUCAACUCUUUUAACAAUACAAGACCAACGACCUCAAAUGAGGUAGGAUCACCCGCUGAACUUAA
rnacentral:misc_RNA from 1 species